rnacentral:lncRNA from 1 species
UCACUCACUCACUCACUCACUCACUCACUGGACAUGGGUCAAGUGGUAAAAAAUACUCUGUUCUGUGAUCAGAUACAUCAUAGCAUGGGCGAAGAAAACUGCCACAUCCAAGGGAGAUAAUCCACUUUCAUCGCACUUGCCAAUCAAGCUCCUUCAGUAACCUUUGCUGUCUAGUGAUGUCCAUGUCAAUUCUCACCUGUGCAACACCUGGGUCACCUACUUUCCUCCAUCUUCCCGAGGCAAGG